ensembl:lncRNA
AUCAGCUGCACAGUACAACAAUUCAUCAAAGAGGUUUGAUCUCUGUUGUACAGAACAUUAUUAUCCCUGUUCAGGAAUUCAUUUCUGUUUUAUUUGCUCUUUAUUUUUUUUUCAUGGCACGACAUUUCCAAAUAGAUGGGAAUGAGAAAAAAGGGAACAAGCAGCACUGUGAGAGAGCAUAAACCACCGAGCGCUAUUGGAGUGCUGGUGUGAAUACAAUUGGAAUUAGGAAAUUCAGGGAGAGUCACCAGUUAUAAAAGGAUGGAAGGCAAAAUGUGGGAUUUGCUUUAUCCUGAAUCUGGUUUCUUUGGAGCUGCAAGGGUUUUAGUGGCUCAGGCAAUUCUUCCUGCAUCAUUUUUAUAAAAAAGUCUCAAAGUGAUUUACAAAGGAAGUAGUUGUUUUGGCCCACCAUCUAGAUCUGGAAAAUGAGGAGAAAGAUUUGCAUGGAACCAAAUUUUUAGGCAAUUUAGGAAAUUCUGAGCAUUCUGGGUCUUCUUUUUACCUUUUGACUGGAAAGAUACUGCAUAGCCUGAAAGUUUCUUUCCCAAAAUACCUCCUGAACUGAGGUGCUUAAAUAUAGGCAAAUGUGAGUUCCUCACCCCGUGAAGAGCUGCCCAAAGCUUGGUUCCAGUGGUUCCCUUAAAAAUGAAAAUCCCUUGUGCUGCCCUUGGGCUGUGGGGAGAGGGAGAAUCGGAGAGAGGAGGAGAGAAAGCCCCAGCAGCUCCAUUCAUGGGGGGGAUGCAGCCCCUGCCAAGUGUCAUUAUGAAAAUUCUUCCUUUUCAUACGAUAUUAAACUCUCCUCUUGGCAGGUCCCCUGAUGCAGCCAGUGUUUUCAGUGAAAAUACACGAGGUGAGCAGUGGGCAAGGCCUCUUGACCAGGAACUUUUGCACAGAAGCGUGAAAAAUGAAGAGAGGAGGUAGAAAGGUUUGCUCAGCGUUAGGCAAAAAUCUGUGGCACAGGUGGAAAACCAUCCCUGGUGAUGUUUGCCCAGUCCCUGUCAUCAUUCCUGCCCUGGCUUCUCAAGCCACUACUGAAUUUGUAGGUUGUUGUCAGAUUCUGUCACCCAGCUGUGUUCUCAGCAUUCCCAGUCUGGGAAUCCUGCUGGGAAUUGGGAUCAGGGGGCUGCACUCACACAGAGCUGCUGCUCAGAACUGCUGAGGGGCUUCUCUGCAUCCUGUCUCCAACAAAACCAGUGCUCACUCCUCGAGCAUCUCGUCCAAUUUCUGCUCCCGCUGACUCUUGCAAAUGGUUGUUCUGAGCCAGCACAAACUAAACAGAUGUUUAAAUGUUCAUUCACUCUUUCUUGGUUUUAUUUUUGUCCCCUCAUUUUGCUUUCAGUUCAGACCAUGACAGCUUUAGGUUGGGAGUUUUUAAGACCAUUCACGGCUCUACUCGCAGCACCUCAAGGCAACCUCUAUUUGUGCAUAUCUCCAGAAGCAGCAGGAAAAAAGUUCCAUUUUCCAAAAAUUCCUCCCACUUCCUUCUCCCUGCGUGUGCCUCUAACCACUGCUGUAUAUGCAGUUAAUUGAAAUGGUGUUUGUUUUAUCUUGAAUAACCUUGUAAUUGAUUGAGGUGGUGGACAGCGAGACUCCAGAGUCAUUUACAUACCUGUGCACGGAGCAGUCAUUUCUGGGAGCCUUUCCACUGCUUUUUUUUUUAAAAUCUUUUUUUUUUUCCCCCCUGAAGAA